UCACUUUUGCACACCUUCUCAAUAUUAGUCUUAAGAAAUGAUUAUUGAACGGUUAAAAUUCUUCUAUUUUCUCCACAUGUUGUAUAGUAUCCACAAUAACUAGUGACUGGACAUUGUAUGCCUCAAUCUCUCAAUUUAAAUAGGAUUCCAAAUUGUGAUACCUAUGCCAAAUUGAUCUAUAUUUUGAAUGAGAUCAUCUGUCUUCUCUUUCAAUUGGGUUGCCAUGAUUGUGAGACUAUCCCGAAGACACUCUUGGAAUUUGAUUUGAUUCUCUAGUUUUAUUAGCCAAUCUUGGCUACUAUGUCUAUUUCAUCACAACUUUCUUCUGCCGGUACCUCCUUUUCAUCAUUAAUUAGGGACUUCUCUUAGGUGUUGAA
rnacentral:lncRNA from 1 species